rnacentral:rRNA from 1 species
CUACGGGUUGCAGCAGUAAGGAAUAUUGCACAAUGGGGGAAACCCUGAUGCAGCAACGCCGCGUGGACGAAGAAGGCCUUCGGGUCGUAAAGUCCUUUUCUGAGGGAAGAGGAAGGACGGUACCUCAGGAACAAGUCUCGGCUAACUACGUGCCAGCAGCCGCGGUAAACGUAGGAGGCGAGCGUUAUCCGGAUUCACUGGGCGUAAAGGGCAAGUAGGCGGUGCAUCAAGUUGGAUGUGACAUCUCCUGGCUUAACUGGGAGGGAGCGUUCAAAACUGGUGUACUAGAGGGCGGAAGAGGGGGGUAGAACUCCUAAUGUAGCGGUGGAAUGCUCAGAUAUUAGGAAGAAUACCAGUGGCGAAGGCGACCCCCUGGUCCGUGCCUGACGCUGAGAGGCGAAAGCUAGGGUAGCGAACGGGAUUAGAUACCCCGGUAGUC